UACGGGGGGGGGCAAGCGUUGUUCGGAAUUACUGGGCGUAAAGGGCUCGUAGGCGGCCAACUAAGUCAGACGUGAAAUCCCUCGGCUUAACCGGGGAACUGCAUCUGAUACUGGAUGGCUUGAGUUCGGGAGAGGGAUGCGGAAUUCCAGGUGUAGCGGUGGAAUGCGUAGAGAUCGGGAAGAACAUCGGUGGCGAAGGCGGCCUGCUGGCCCGGUACUGACGCUGAGGUGCGAAAGCGUGGGGAGCAAACAGGG
rnacentral:rRNA from 1 species